AUACGGAAGGUCCGGGCGUUAUCCGGAUUUAUUGGGUUUAAAGGGAGCGCAGGCGGAGAUGCAAGCGUGACGUCAAAUUUCGGGGCUCAACCCCGUCUCGCGUCGCGAACUGCGUCCCUUGGUUGCGGGAAGGGGAGGCGGAACUCGUGGUGUAGCGGUGAAAUGCAUAGAUAUCACGAAGAACUCCGAUCGCGAAGGCAGCCUUCCGGCCCGUCAACGACGCUCAUGCUCGAAGGUGCGGGUAUCAAACAGGAUUAGAUACCCUGGUAGUCCGCACAGUAAACGAUGGACACCCGCGGUUUGGCCUGUAUGGCUGAGCCGCCAAGCGAAAGCGUUAAGUGUCCAACCUGGGGAGUACGCCGGCAACGGUGAAACUUAAAGGAAUUGACGGGG
rnacentral:rRNA from 1 species